UGAACAAAUCCACACCUUCAUUCCUCAAACAGGUGCUACCCCUUUCUCCAGGCAGCAGGUAAUGCUCCUCCACCCAUCAGCUCUGCAGAGCACCCUUCUGAUUGCAGGGAUGUUCAGUCUAGAAGUACAGCAAUCACACAGCUGUCAGGGUACUGGGAAACCUCCUGCUGCCCUUCAGUCUGCUGGGUCGUUACCUGUCCUUCUGUUUGUGCAGCUCUCACCAUGGUUGCAAUCUCCUGGCAGCAAGAAGGGCUCAUUGGUUCUUACCGGCUUCAUUGCAUUCCUGCCACGAGCUGUUAUCUGCAUCUGCAAAGGCUGGACGAUCAGCCAGAGCUCCACGUGCAGUCACAUCCUGCCUCGCUCUGCCCUUCUCUCACUGCACCGAGGUGUGGUGUUACACCAGAAACUCACAUUCACAGAAACGCAGCGCUGGCCGAUUCCUAGAAGCAGCAGUCACAUCUCACGCUACAGCAGAAUUUCUUAUUCAGGGGCAGGAAGGAGUCAUCGAGUUCAGAAGCAUUGCUCUCAGCAGGAGAUGUUGGCUUGCAGCUUGGUACAGCCACAGAUUAGCAAGAGAUAUGGGAGAGAUUGCGAUGGCUUUCCACCAAAGGAGCACAGAAAAUGCAUGGGAGCUCCUCACGUGGGACGCUGACAGCCUGAAGGCAGCAGGGCAUGGCCCUGCAAGGCAGCAACCCCAAAGCAGGCACGGCUUUGCCCUCCCCCACUUCCCAACGUAAUCAUAAAGAGUCAUUG